AUUGAACGCUGGCGGCAUGCCUUACACAUGCAAGUCGAACGGCAGCGCGGACUUCGGUCUGGCGGCGAGUGGCGAACGGGUGAGUAAUGUAUCGGAACGUACCAUUCAGUGGGGGAUAACGCAGCGAAAGUUGCGCUAAUACCGCCUAUUCUGUGCGACGGAAAGCAGGGGAUCGCAAGACCUUGCGCUGAUUGAGCGGCCGAUAUCAGAUUAGCUAGUUGGUGAGGUAAAGGCUCACCAAAGCGACGAUCUGUAGCGGGUCUGAGAGGAUGAUCCGCCACACUGGAACUGAGACACGGUCCAGACUCCUACGGGAGGCAGCAGUGGGGAAUUUUGGACAAUGGGCGCAAGCCUGAUCCAGCCAUGCCGCGUGAGUGAAGAAGGCCUUCGGGUUGUAAAGCUCUUUCGGCCGGGAAGAAAUCGUAUGGGUUAAUACCCUGUGCGGAUGACGGUACCGGCAUAAGAAGCACCGGCUAACUACGUGCCAGCCGCCGCAGUAAAAC
rnacentral:rRNA from 1 species